rnacentral:lncRNA from 1 species
UUUCCGACGUGGCAAUGAGCUAUACAUGACUGCAUGAGAAAGAGAGAGAGUCCUGCAGUUUGACUGUCAAUGAACAAUUCACUACCUGCCUGCAAUAAAGCUUAUCCACCGCUAGAGCCCAGGGAUUUCACCUCGUCCUUGAGAGACCAGCACAAAUCAACCCAAAUAAAACAUCCCGACACUGUUCACCUCUACCGGAGGGUCGUUUUCCUUCGAGACACGUGGACGAAGCCGUACACAGCAUUAGGGACAGAAGAGACGCAGCCUCUAUAGAGGGACUCAGACAGGGUGGGAGGAGAUCCCAGCAGGUAAAAAGACCCACCGCAGGUCACGACCACAAACAGCAUAUCAGCUGGCUAUUUCUGAACAGGCCAUUGUGUCUGAUUUCUGUCCACACAGACACACACACACACACACACGCGCACACACACACACACG